GAUGAACGCUGGCGGCGUGCCUAAUACAUGCCAGUCGAGCGAACGGACGAGAAGCUUGCUUCUCUGAUGUUAGCGGCGGACGGGUGAGUAACACGUGGAUAACCUACCUAUAAGACUGGGAUAACUUCGGGAAACCGGAGCUAAUACCGGAUAAUAUUUUGAACCGCAUGGUUCAAAAGUGAAAGACGGUCUUGCUGUCACUUAUAGAUGGAUCCGCGCUGCAUUAGCUAGUUGGUAAGGUAACGGCUUACCAAGGCAACGAUGCAUAGCCGACCUGAGAGGGUGAUCGGCCACACUGGAACUGAGACACGGUCCAGACUCCUACGGGAGGCAGCAGUAGGGAAUCUUCCGCAAUGGGCGAAAGCCUGACGGAGCAACGCCGCGUGAGUGAUGAAGGUCUUCGGAUCGUAUAACUCUGUUAUUAGGGAAGAACAUAUGUGUAAGUAACUGUGCACAUCUUGACGGUACCUAAUCAGAAAGCCACGGCUAACUACGU
rnacentral:rRNA from 1 species